rnacentral:rRNA from 2 species
GGUUAAGUUAGAAAGGGCGCACGGUGGAUGCCUUGACACUAGGAGUCGAUGAAGGACGGGACUAACGCCGAUAUGCUUCGGGGAGCUGUAAGUAAGCUUUGAUCCGAAGAUUUCCGAAUGGGGAAACCCACUAUACGUAAUGGUAUGGUAUCCUUACCUGAAUACAUAGGGUAAGGAAGACAGACCCAGGGAACUGAAACAUCUAAGUACCUGGAGGAAGAGAAAGCAAAUGCGAUUUCCUGAGUAGCGGCGAGCGAAACGGAACAUAGCCCAAACCAAGAGGCUUGCCUCUUGGGGUUGUAGGACAUUCUAUACGGAGUUACAAAGGAACGAGGUAGACGAAGCGACCUGGAAAGGUCCGUCGUAGAGGGUAACAACCCCGUAGUCGAAACUUCGUUCUCUCUUGAAUGUAUCCUGAGUACGGCGGAACACGUGAAAUUCCGUCGGAAUCUGGGAGGACCAUCUCCCAAGGCUAAAUACUCCCUAGUGAUCGAUAGUGAACCAGUACCGU